rnacentral:rRNA from 1 species
UACGGAGGAUGCGAGCGUUAUCCGGAUUUAUUGGGUUUAAAGGGUGCGUAGGCGGAAUAUCAAGUCAGCGGUAAAAAUUCGGGGCUCAACCCCGUCGUGCCGUUGAAACUGGCUGGCUUGAGUUGGGGAAAGGCAGGCGGAAUGCGCGGUGUAGCGGUGAAAUGCAUAGAUAUCGCGCAGAACCCCGAUUGCGAAGGCAGCUUACCAGACUGCGACUGACGCUGAAGCACGAGAGCGUGGGUAGCGAACAGG